CCUACGGGUGGCUGCAGUCGAGAAUCAUUCACAAUGGGGGAAACCCUGAUGGUGCGACGCCGCGUGGGGGAAUGAAGGUCUUCGGACUGUAAACCCCUGUCAUGUGGGAGCAAAUUAAAAAGAUAGUACCACAAGAGGAAGAGACGGCUAACUCUGUACCAGCAGCCGCGGUAAUACAGAGGUCUCAAGCGUUGUUCGGAAUCACUGGGCGUAAGGCGUGCGUAGGCUGUUUCGUAAGUCGUGUGUGAAAGGCGCGGGCUCAACCCGCGGACGGAACAUGAUACUGCGAGACUAGAGUAAUGGAGGGGGAACCGGAAUUCUCGGUGUAGCAGUGAAAUGCGUAGAUAUCGAGAGGAACACUCGUGGCGAAGGCGGGUUCCUGGACAUUAACUGACGCUGAGGCACGAAGGCCAGGGGAGCGAAAGGGAUUAGAUACCCCAGUAGUC
rnacentral:rRNA from 1 species